GUGUAAAGUUUCUGGGGUAAAAGUGGAAUUUUAGCAAAAAUAUGGGGUUAAAAUGUAAUUUUUGAAAAAUUUAGGGGCUAAAAUGUAAUUUAGAAAAGUUUAGGGGUAGAUAUGUAAAUUUGAGAAAGUUUAGGGGUUGAAAUGUAAUUUAGAAAAGUUUAGGGGCCCAAAAAUGUAAUUUAUAUUUUUUGUAUUUUUUCAAAAUUUCAUUAUGACUAUUUUAUUAAUAUUUAAAAAAAUUUAAAAAUGGGCUAAAACAAUUCCAAAAUUAAAUCUUAAUGGGCCCGAUCAUUGGGCCCAUACGAGACCAGCCCUGCCCGAAAUCCAACCCGGGCAAAAUUCAGUGAUUACAGCUGCCCCUCUUUGCUCAUCUCUGUGAAACAGGGAUAGAGCAAAGACUUAAAAGUACUGAAUUUUGCUCGAUUGUCUAAUUUUUUAUAUUUUUUGAAAGCCUG
rnacentral:lncRNA from 1 species